rnacentral:rRNA from 1 species
CAGCCGCCACGGUAAUACCAGCACCUCGAGUGGUCAGGAGGUUUAUUGGGCCUAAAGCAUCCGUAGCCGGUUGCAUAAGUUUUCGGUUAAAUCUAUGCGCUUAACGUAUAGGCCGCCGAAAAUACUGUGCAGCUAGGGAGUGGGAGAGGUACACGGUACUCGAUAGGAAGGGGUAAAAUCCUUUGAUCUAUUGAUGACCACCUGUGGCGAAGGCGGUGUACCAGAACACGUUCGACGGUGAGGGAUGAAAGCUGGGGGAGCAAACCGGAUUAGAUACCCCAGUAGUCCCUGUCUCUUAUAC